rnacentral:rRNA from 1 species
UAAGACAGAGGGGGCAAGCGUUGCUCGGAAUUACUGGGCGUAAAGGGCGCGUAGGCGGGAUGGCAAGUCGGUCGUGAAAUCCCUCGGCUCAACUGAGGAUCGUCGAUCGAUACUGCCGUUCUUGAGGAUUGCAGAGGAGACUGGAAUUCCCGGUGUAGCGGUGAAAUGUGUAGAGAUCGGGAGGAACACCGGUGGCGAAGGCGGGUCUCUGGGCAAUUCCUGACGCUGAGGCGCGAAAGCGUGGGGAGCAAACGGGAUUAGAUACCCUGGUAGUCCACGCCGUAAACGAUGGGCACUAGGCGUCGGGGGGAGCGACCCUCCCGGUGCCGUCGCUAACGCAGUAAGUGCCCCGCCUGGGGAGUACGGCCGCAAGGCUG